AAAUUAUUAACCCACCCCUGCGAUAGUAUAGCUACGCCUAGAAUACUCACUCCACACACGCCCACACCCAUCCGAAAAGGAAGAGUCCAUUGUCUCUCCACUACCCCAUUACCUCCACAAGAAACUCAUCAGACAAGUAAGGCUUAAAUUCUUAACGAGAAAGACCAGUUUCAAUUGGGAAACUGAUUUGUUGGAGAAAAUUCAAUAAAACAGACAAAGAUAAUGGUCGGAUUGUCUCCUGAUAUCCAGAAAUCAGCUUUCUCUUCGUACUUCAAAUCAAACUUGAGUUUUGCUGGUGUUUGCUGAGAGUAGGAUCGUUUGGUUUGAAUACAAGUUAUGACGGAAUUAGUUAUACUGGAUAAGUUAUGCUGGGAUUAGUUAUGAUGGGAUAAGUUAUGCCAAGAUGAAGAAUUUGAAGAUUGAAGAAUGUGUUGUUGAAGAAUUAUGGAGCCAACUGAAACGAAGAUUAUAUUUUUAUUGUUUUGUUGUUGGUGCAAAGUAGUUCUUUCUACCUAUGCUACAAUUUUAGUUUCUCAAUUUUUAGGAUUUGAUAGAUGUCGUCAUGUCGAAUAUGUUUUAUGAUAUUAUGUCGAACAUUCAUGUUUUUUAGAUUGUGUUGAACACACACAAAUAUAUAUAUGAGUUUUCCAGUA